ensembl:lncRNA novel transcript
GGUGGCUGUAUGAUCUUAAGUAAGCCCAUUUUGCUUCAAUUUUCUUAUCUAGAAAAUGGGGAUAAUAACACCCAUGUUAUAGAGUUAUUCUGAUGAUUUCUAAGAGUCUCAGAGACCUAGGAUCCACAAAAUCAAAACAACAAAACCAAGCCUUUGUGCACAUCUGUGGUUGUGACCAGUUGGAGAGACAUUAGGAGAUGAGAUACUAUGUUCACUCCUCACAGCUGUACCAGGGACCUGAGAUAUUCCGUCACUAUUCUAUGAGCCUGGGCUGGUGAAUGGUUCCUGCUUUCACUAUUCCAGAUGUCCAGCUCUGUACCUUGCUGCUCUCCUUAAAGCCUGCCUCCCUCUAGAUGGUCUGGCUUGAUGAUAUCCAACCUGACGUGGCCUGAAGAGACAGACAGUGGCUCUUGCUAGCUAAUUAUUGUCAGAUGGAUCGGCAGCCGACCAACGCUUCUGAAACUAUUGUUUUUGGCAAAUGUUCCUCAACAUUUUCCUGGUAUAUAAAUAAUGAUCCCUUGCAGAAA